UACGAAGGGUGCAAGCGUUACUCGGAAUUACUGGGCGUAAAGCGUGCGUAGGUGGUUCGUUAAGUCCGAUGUGAAAGCCCUGGGCUCAACCUGGGAAUGGCAUUGGAUACUGGCGGCUAGAGUGCGGUAGAGGAUGGCGGAAUUCCCGGUGUAGCAGUGAAAUGCGUAGAGAUCGGGAGGAACAUCCGUGGCGAAGGCGGCCAUCUGGACCAGCACUGACACUGAGGCACGAAAGCGUGGGAGCAACAGGG
rnacentral:rRNA from 1 species